rnacentral:lncRNA from 1 species
AUUUUAUUUUAAUGAUUUUAAUUUUUUUUUCCAUUACAGCCGAUUUACAGUGUUCUGUCAAUUUUCUACUGUACAGCAAGGUGACCCAGUCACACAUACAUGUAUACGUUCUUUUUUCUCACAUUAUCCAUGCUCCAUCAUUAGUGACUAGAUAUAGUUCCCAGUGCUAUACAGCAGGAUCUCAUUGCUUAUCCAUUCCAGAGGCAACAGUCUGCAUCUAUUAACCCCAAAUUCCCAGUCCAUCCUGCUCCCUUCCCCCUCGGUAACCUCAAGUCUAAGUAUCUGUCUAUUGUAAACAUUCAGAAAUUUAUGGAAACCCUGAAACCACCUUGUUAAAAGUGAAAUUUAAAAAAAAUGAAAACUUAAAAUUAAUUUAGCUAUGUUAAAAUUUUGUUGGAAAAGGGUGAAUUAUAAAUCAAAAUACAUAUAACUUUAUGCUACCGAAGGAUACCCUUCUUGCUGCUCUCUUCGAAAAAGAGAGUUUGGCCACUUUAUUUUUACCGAGAAGCUGAUACAGCAGCCUGGGUGUUUUUCUUCUCAGUAAGAAAAGAAUAUAUUUGACAUGUCAAUGGCAAUGAUUGCUUCAAAACAAGCAGAGAUGUGGAAAUUGAAAUAGGGGCCCAGUGGAGCUCUUACAGUUCAUGCAUGUAGGUGUUUCAGUGGCUUCCAUUCACUUUGUAGCUUCCAUAUCAAUGGCAAGGAAAAUAGGUUUGAUUGGAUUUGGCAGUAGCUUUCCUCGAACAAUAUUUUCAAGAGAUAGGAUUGUUCAGGGUUGAAUUCCCAAUUAUUUCCUGCUGUAAGAAGCAGUAUAAAACAAUGUCUCCAGCAUCAAAUGUAAUUAGUUCUUCUAUUGACUUGUGUGUUUUUAAUGUUAAAAUUAUAUUCCUCUGUGGAGAGAAUCGACAGAUACCAUUCUUCCUCAUGUAUGCAUUAAUAUCCUAGAAAACUGAGUGGAUUUGUUUGACAACUUAUUCCUGUGUCUCUGAGAUCAAAGCUCUGAAGAGUUCUGAGAUCAAAGCACUAAGGAGAUGGGCUAUAGGAUGUAACAAGCAUAAAAUUUUGAAAGUAUUCAACUAACAGAGAUUGUGGAUUUUAUCUCACCCCCCCCACAUAUCAAGUUCCUUUAUCAUCAUUUGAAUAUUAUAGUACUCAAAGGGAAAAGGGAACACUCACGUUUAUACAAGCAUUAUUCACAAUGGCCAAAAGGCAAAAGCGGCCCAAGUGUCCACUGAUGGAUGAAUGAAUAAACUGUGGUUUAUGCCUACAAUGAACUAUUAGUCAGCAUUUAAAAGGAAGGGAAUUCUGUCAUAUGUUGUAACAUAGAUCAACCUGGAGGAUGUUAAGCUAAGUGAAACAAGAAGACAAUUAGUAUACGAUUCCACUUAUAUGAGGUAAAAAAGUAACUGGGUUCAUAGAAACAGAAAGCAGAAUGGUAGUGAGCAGGGCCAGAGGGGGCACUGAAAUGGGGAGCUGUUGUUUAACAUGCAUACAGUUUUAGUUUUGUAAGAUGAAAAAACUCCUGAGACUUGUUGAACACUAAUGGGAUGCCUUAUUGAUAGAGAAAUGAAGUAGACAUCAUAUCAGUGAACCCUGGAAAAGUUGGAAAAAGAGAUGCACUGAUAUGAAGUGAGUUGCAAUACAUGUGUCCUUGUCUCCUCCCUGGGGAUGUGUCCUGAUGUAAACAUCUGGGAGGGGUAUAGAAAGAUCUGGGAGCAUCAGGGCAAGCUGCCCUGGCUUAGGCAGGAAGGACACAAGCCUGUAGGAAAACUCCUCAUCCUUUUCAUCCAGUAGGGCACAGGGAUACUAUUGCAGUAUCUGCAAGGGAUGUGGCCUGUGCAGGGAGGCUCGGGGUGGAGAAGUGCGUAUAGGCUGAGAGGGUUUCAGAAAGGAUGCUAAUACAAUGUCCCAAGAAACAGUGCCUGCAGACACCACCUGAGAGAAGCAGAUCAGCACUGCAAUAAAGAAUAUGAAUUCUGAAUCCAGUCUACCUUGGUUUUUAUUUCUGGUUUCUCUACCUUUGAGCUGUGCAUAUUUGGACAAGUUUGUAUCUUAAUUUCAUUCCUUAAGUUGUACUACUAACAAUACCCACCUCAUUUUGUUAGAGGAUUAAAAGUAUACAUGAAAUCCUCACACAACACUUGACACAGAGUUCUCAAAAAUAUCAGUCGUUAUUUAUUAUUAUUGAAAAGGAAUGGAAGGAGAGUGAUCAAACAUAUAUCUGUCAACACUGCCUAAAGAGCUAAGUCAUCCACCUUCACACAGAAAUUCUAAAGCUUCCAUAUUUUGCCAUCUGACUGAGUAUGGGUUAGGGGAGAACAGAUGAUCGGUUAUUAUAAAACACUUUAAAAGCUAAUUUUUUCAUACAUUGAGUGGAUGUGAAUAAAUUGUUGAUUCCACUAGUUAUGGGUCCUUCAAUAUUCCUAAUCUGUGUGCCUGAAUCUAAUAUUUGUGGGAUUUUGGAGAAAAACAAGUAGAGGCUCAUACGCCAUCCACACUAAUGUUUAAAUGAUACAAAUCAAGCUAAUAAAUAUAAUUUUUAAAAUUUUAAUUUAUUUUUAUUUUUAUUAUCCUUUUGGUUUGAAACCUACACCUUUACAAUGAUCUAGAAGGCCAGACUCAAAUUGAGAAUUAGCAGAGACUUCCAUGCUGGAACCUAGUGGGGCAGGGAAAGUAGGCUGUGAGCCUCUCACCCGCCCUCUUCUCUUUCCACCAUCCAUGACCCGCACUGCAAGAGGCCUAAUGUACAUACACUUUGUCAGUCACAUCAGCAAACUCUAUCCAUACCCUUGUAAACAGACAUCCCUUGUCCACUCCUCAGACCAAGAGAUGCAGACAUCAACUACCUGGGCCACCCUCCCAGUUCUUGAAGCAUGGUGUGGUUGGGGAAGAGGCCUGGGCUUUAGGUGGACAUGUCUCUUUAACCCAGUUAGCUCCUUGCCCUGUAGAGAUGUUGGCCAGUGAACCCCAGCAGUAUUUACUCAUGGAGCCCAGAGUAAGAGCUCUGCUUGCCUGCACCUGUAGGUAGCAAUGUGCACCAGAAACUGAUUCCAAAUCCCUCAAUUUACAACUACAGAGCAAAAUCAUCCAAAGUUAGAGGCCAUCUCAACCCUGAAGGAGAAAGAAUAUAUAGUAGGAGCUGAAAGAUAUUCAACAAAAAGAGGAAUGAAAGAGAGAGAGAAGUCUAGGUCUAAGGCCUUUCUUAAAAUCAGUUCUUUUGAAAAGAACAAAUCUUUUCCAGAAAGAGAAACCCAGCGUUCCAACUCCAGCAACAGCAGUUUAGGUUGUGAAUGUGGCGACUGGAGAUGUACCAUUUUCCAUUGACUCUAAGAAGCAUAUUUAUUUUACAUUUUAACAUCUUGGGAUUGGAAUGUUUCCUAUAAUUGAUGGUACUUUACGGUGGCCAUUGACCAAGCAACAGUUGUGACAUGGUAGUCGGUGCCUGUGCGUGCACAAACUGUUCACCAACCUCUCUUCACGUGUGUGAAUCCUUGGCUCUGUGUAAGCGGCAUUGCUAGUGUAAAUGUCUUCAAACAGAUUACACCAUAAUUUGGCACUGAAACAAGUUACCUUGUGUGCAGGAAGACAUCGAAAUGGAACAGCAGGGCAUAAAUUGGAUGUUAGUGAAACAAAUGUUCAUAAUUAGAAGAAUACCUACAACUUCAUGACUGUUUGCAAAAUAACAACCAAGUGGAUUAUGGGUCUAACAGGAAGAUGGGCACAAGUUACUGAGUUUACUGUAGCAUUGUUUAAUGCUACAAUAAUGUUACAUAAAGUCCUUAAAACAACUCAUUUAUCAGAGUUCCUGUUGUGGCCCAGCGGAAAUGAAUCUAACUAGUAUCCAUGAGGUCAUAGGUUCCAUCCCUGGCCUCGCUCAGUGGUUUAAGGAUCUGGCAUUGCCGUGAGCUGUGGCGUAGGUCACAGA